AUUCAUCCUUACUACUGAGAUUAAGUAUUGAUUCUAGAUCUGAGGAGUUUGUAUUGUUGAGAUGAUUCGCUGAUUGUGGAUUUAUCAUUUCUCGUUUGUAAUUGGCCAUGAAUGCGUGAGAAAGGUGGUUGAUGGGAAGAUCAAUCGCGCUAAUUCGAAUUGUUCAUUUCAUUUGGGGAGUAUUUGGGGGUUUAGGGAAUGUGAUAAUUUUAGGGAUUUGAGAUCAAUUUUGGUACUGAAACGAAGAUCUUGCGCUUUGUGGAGUUCUGUGACCUAUGAGUUAUCAGAAAAUCAAUUAAUUUAGAAUUUAAACUUGUUCUUGUGUCUAUGGUUUUCGUUUAUCAUCAAUGGUUAGCCUCUGAGAAUCGCUAUGAAUUUGAAUCAUAGAUCACCUGCCCUGAGGAAACUCAGUUUAGUUUCUCACUGUUUUAGUGGCUUCUCUGAGAAUCGCUAUGAAUUUGAAUUUUAGAUCACCUGCCCUGAGGAAACCAAGAUUAGUUUCUCACUGUUUUAGUGGCUUAAUCAAUGUUUUAGUGGCUUAAUCAAUAGCUGG
rnacentral:lncRNA from 1 species